GGUAGUGUGGCCGAGCGGUCUAAGGCGCUGGAUUAAGGCUCGACAGAGGCGUGGGUUCGAAUCCCACCGCUGCCA